GCCGGCACCGCCGGGAGGGGACCCCAGGGAACAUGCCCGAGCGGUUGGCGGGCGCACGGCGCCCACGGGCAGCACAGAGCGAGGAACUUAGAACUGAGAGGGUUGUGUAGAGGAUCUCUUGUUCGAAUUACUGACUCUUCGCCUUUUUCGUGUCUCUUCUGGAAUUGCGAUCGUCUCCCCCCUUCCUCCUGCAGAUGGUUGCGUCCGUCCCGCCGCUUUCCUUCGCCCGCAUUCCAGAGCACGGCGAGGGGCGGGGAUCCCGGCUCAAGUCCUUGUAGGGGAAUCGCGAAGGGACGCGGGGCCGCACGUGACUGGAUCGGCUCCGCCCCCGAGCGCCGGCGGCGCGGUCCCGGCUGGAAUGCGCCUGUGCAGGAAGUUCGCGUGAAUCAGCGUCUGGGUCAGCACCUCAGGCUCCGCUCGGCGCGGAGAGGGCGUGUGCGAACCAUUUGGAAAGUUGCGAAGUGGCCUUUUAUGGAGUACCUCACUCUCCACGUGGGAGGGAACACUGAGCCUUCAGGGCCCCGUUGUCUCUUUGGUCCAGAUUCUUCCCUCGCCCAAAAAAAGUUCCUUGGAACUUCCUGCAAGAGUCCCCUUUAGCCCCGAUGGUGACUCCUGCUCCACCCAUCGCUCGAGGGUGACUUGGUGAAAUAGGACUAAGUGCCGGACCCAGUUACCCCCCAGGUCUCCUUUACGUGAGUUGGCGGCCAGCGAUGGUUCUGGUUAAAGGGAAAGGGAAAGCCUCCAGGACCGCUUCUGGAGGCUGUACCAGCUCGGACCCAGAAGCAGAUCGCGAUCCAGGGGAGACCAAAGCAGUUCUAGAGUUCCUUCUCAUCUCCAGAGCUCUGUCGCUUGACCCAGGAAAACGAUGGCGCUGUUCUAAAUAAUACGUGUUAAAUAGUCCUAAGACCAGCUCUUUUCUUCAUGGAACUCAUGUGAUAUGGUUUAAAGUUAACUCAGAGGUAAAGCCACUGAAGAAAAUAAAAGCCCUAGUCCUAUAGGUGACAGAAACAAAAUUUCCCUCCCUUCUUUGAUAAUAUGAAUCAUUUUGGAGUGCUAACUAAAAAUACAAAUAAUUGAGUAAUUCAUUCCCAGCUCCCUGAAUCAAGACCGUCAACAGCAGGUUCUGGGGAGUCAAGGGCUUAAGGGGUCUAGCAUGACUUUUUGGGAAAGUUGGGCACACAGCUGGUGGCAAGCCGUGACAGUGCAAAGGAGGACCCAGGAGUCAAACUGUGAGGAAGAGAUCAUAUGACUCUUAUGGAACUUCCCAGCAAGUGGGCUCAGCCCCACUGAAAUCAGUACCUUGGGAAAAGGCUGCGUUGCCAAGCACCUGGACAUCAGAGGUUAAAAACAAAACAGCACCAAAGAAGGGACAUGUCAGAGGUGAGAUAUCAACUCCAAGCACUUCCUUUUGAGAAGAAACUGUUCCAGGUAAGGUAUGCUGGUCAGUUUAUGAGUGAGGACAGAGUAGGUCAGUCACCUUCUAGAUCAAAAGCUGAGAAACUCCAUCUAGAGACAACUUGAGAAGGAAUGCAGCUUUAAAGCCUAGAGGCAUGAAGUGGUUCUUGAAGUCAUUCAAUAAACAGCAAGGCGAGAUGUCAGAUACCCAAGACCCACCCUACCUACAGGCACGCACAUGCACGCAUGCGUGCGCGCACACACAGAGAGACGGAUACACACACAGCAAAUUUAAGCUAGUGGGGAUACAAGCUAGUUACCCUACAAUUGUAGGUUACCCCAACUGCAGCCUUUAAAAAACUCGGUAAUUCACUUAAGAUUUUUCUUAUGUUUAGAUGAUCCACAUUGGAGAGAUAGGGCUUAGAAUUUGGAAAUUUUUAACCACAGGGCCUGUAUCAGUUAUUUUUCUUCCCCUUUCCCAGCAUAACGUUAGAUUUCCCUCUUUAUUUCUCACCUUGUAAAGGUGAGGGACUCUUUUAGAUGUUGCUUUAUGAAGCUCUAACCGGGAAUCAUGUCUUCCUCCUGUGCCACGCCCUUACUGCAUCGUGUCACUGAGUCCACCAUCGUGUAAUUGUCUCUAAGGGCUCUUUUCACUCUGCAGUGUGCUGCGCUGUGCUCGGUGUGCUGCGCUGUGCUCGGUGUGCUGC